GUCGAUAGUCCAAAUAUCCUAAAGGCACCAGGUGCUGUCUGAUCUUGGGAACUAAGCAAGGUCAGCCUCGGUUAGUACUUAGAUGGGAAAUCUCCAACAAAUACCAGAUGCUGUAGACU
rnacentral:rRNA from 11 species